GACCCAGCAUGAUGUAGUGGUUUGAGUGUUGGACUAUAACUCUAGAGACCAGGGUUCAAAUCCCAGCUCGGCUA
rnacentral:tRNA from 1 species